CUUAUUGGUUAAGUUUCUAUCAACUCUAUUAGCAUUUCAUUUGAUAUACUUACUUAUCAUGCCCAUUUGUAGUUGUAGUUUAUUUUAUCUAUUUUGGAUAAUAUUACAAGGGCUUGCAAAAUGUCACUAAAAGAUAUUACCUUUUUUUGUGUUGAGGAGGCGUGGUCUAGCUUUAUCGGCUCGCCACACUUUCGGUACUCCAACUGCUUUUCUGCUUCUAGCUCACGUGGUUUUGUUCGCCUACUCUGCUAUCUCCAAACGAAUCCCGAGUUUCUUCCUUGCUUCUUGAUCUAGAUGCUUCUUCUCUCUGCAUGAUACUCAUCUCCUGGUGUGAUGAUAAGUCAGACGCUUUAGUUUUUAUAUCUAAAAGGCUCGAAGAGCUGCAUAUUAAAGGAGUGGGUUCUGCUGGCCUAUCUUCGGCUGCACUGCUAGAAUUGAAUGCUUCUAUAUGGGUUUGGGAAGGAAAGUUAGGGUUGGACUUGAGGGAAUUAAGUGGCCUUUCUGACUUCAUGCUAAAGCCAUUAUUCAUUAGUACUAUCGAUCGUGGUGACAUAAAAAAGUAAUUAUCAUUCUGCCUUGGGAUAUUUCACAAAUCUCACAAAUUAGUCACAAGUUUUCCUCACUACGUCUACGUACCAUUUAUUUCCUAAAUCAUUUUAUUUUAUUCUUAUAUAUACACGUCUGCAAAAUUAUUUUCAAAUAAUUUAAAGUAUACCACUUUUUUGGAUUUCUUUUAUAUUUGUAACAUAUUCAUGUCUUGUUUUGGGAUGUCUUGGUCAAUCAUGGUUUUGUUUGAACUGGAGAUUGUUUCGACACAUGUUAUUUGAUUCAUUUGUUACUCAUUGGCUUCAGCUUCUUCUUUUCUUUCUUUCUUUCUCUUUUUUUUGCCAACUGGAUUGAAUCAAAAUGAAGUCAACAUGAGAAAAUUCACAUUAUUGCUUGUGCACAUGCACAGUUGCGUAUGCUUCCGGAGAGAAGCGUGUAUCAUCUGACGUUUCCUCCCUAAGAGAGUUAAAUCGUUUUAAAACUUCUCAACAUGUUUAUUAAUUUUUCCUCCUCGCUUUAGUAAGUUGUCUUCAAAUUUCAAAACGUCAGGGUUAUCAUUUUAUACUCCAGUUUUUGUACACUUAUUCAUAUCCAGUUCUCCCAUUUUGAUCUUUUCACUUGCGCCGCUCUAAACGACAUUGUAAAUGGAUGUCAUAUUAAGCUGUUGUCGUGACAUGAUUUAGAACAAAUGACUAUCGUUUUUAAUUUUAUCUAUCUUGGUCAUUUCAAGUUUUCUGAAGUUUUUAUGGAGUUAUUUGUCUAAGAUUUUUAGUGUGAUCUAUGACAUGGGAGCUGCCAUGAAAUAUUAGGUAUUGAUACUAUUCUGCUGUGGGACUGCUGUCGAAAUUGGUUAUGUAAAGUUCCGUCACAAUUCUGGGACAUGCUGUAUAUAGUUUGUCAAUUGCAUUCGUCGGUUAAAUUACUGGUGUUUUGUU